rnacentral:rRNA from 1 species
GUCUACGGCCAUACCACCCUGAACGUGCCCGAUCUUGUCUGAUCUCAGAAGCUAAGCAGGGUCGGGCCUGGUUAGUACUUGGAUGGGAGAAAGUGGCAAGAACUAUGUUCAAAGUAAGGGACAGUUUUUUGUGGUUU